CGGAAAGAGAGGGAUUCGAA
rnacentral:tRNA from 3 species